UAACGCGUGAGGAACCUGCCUCAAAGAGGGGGACAACNGUUGGAAACGACUGCUAAUACCGCAUAAGCCCACGACCCGGCAUCGGGUUGAGGGAAAAGGAGCAAUCCGCUUUGAGAUGGCCUCGCGUCCGAUUAGCUAGUUGGUGAGGUAACGGCCCACCAAGGCGACGAUCGGUAGCCGGACUGAGAGGUUGAACGGCCACAUUGGGACUGAGACACGGCCCAGACUCCUACGGGAGGCAGCAGUGGGGAAUAUUGCACAAUGGGGGAAACCCUGAUGCAGCGACGCCGCGUGGAGGAAGAAGGUCUUCGGAUUGUAAACUCCUGUUGUUGAGGAAGAUAAUGACGGUACUCAACAAGGAAGUGACGGCUAACUACGUGCCAGCAGCCGCGGUAAAACGUAGGUCACAAGCGUUGUCCGGAAUUACUGGGUGUAAAGGGAGCGCAGGCGGGAAGACAAGUUGGAAGUGAAAUCCAUGGGCUCAACCCAUGAACUGCUUUCAAAACUGUUUUUCUUGAGUAGUGCAGAGGUAGGCGGAAUUCCCGGUGUAGCGGUGGAAUGCGUAGAUAUCGGGAGGAACACCAGUGGCGAAGGCGGCCUACUGGGCACCAACUGACGCUGAGGCUCGAAAGUGUGGGUAGCAAACAGGAUUAGAUACCCUGGUAGUCCACACUGUAAACGAUGAUUACUAGGUGU
rnacentral:rRNA from 1 species